UACGGGGGGGGUAAGCGUUGUUCGGAAUUACUGGGCGUAAAGGGCGCGUAGGCGGCCUACUAAGUCGGACGUGAAAUCCCUCGGCUCAACUGAGGAACUGCACGGGAUACUGGAAGACUUGAGUUCGGGAGAGGGAAGCGGAAUUCCGGGUGUAGCGGUGAAAUGCGUAGAUAUCCGGAGGAACACCGGUGGCGAAGGCGGCUUCCUGGACCGAUUACUGACGCUGAGGCGCGAAAGCUAGGGGAGCAAACGGG
rnacentral:rRNA from 1 species